UAGGGAAUAUUGGUAAUGUGCGAAAGCGCGAACCAGCAACGCCGCGUGUGCGAUGACGGCCUUCGGGUUGUAAAGCACUUUUCGGGAGGAAGAGGAAGGACUGUACUCCCGGAAUAAGUCUCGGCUAACUACGUGCCAGCAGCCGCGGUAAUACGUAGGAGGCUAACGUUAUCCGGAUUUACUGGGCGUAAAGCGCGUGUAGGCUGUUCAAUAAGUUGGGCGUGAAAGCUCCCGGCUCAACUGGGAGAGGUCGUUCAAUACUGUUGGACUAGAGGAUGGUAGAGGGAGGUGGAAUUCCGGGUGUAGUGGUGAAAUGCGCAGAUAUCCGGAGGAACACCAGUGGCGAAAGCGGCCUCCUGGACCAUUCCUGACGCUCAGACGCGAAAGCUAGGGUAGCAAACG
rnacentral:rRNA from 1 species